AAUGUAUGACGCCGUUGACAUUUUAUCUAACGUUUGACCAUUCGUCUUAUUUAAAAAAUUUAUGUAAUUAUCAUUUAUUUUAUUGUGACUUGAUUCAUCAUCAAAUAUUCUUUAAGCAUGAUAUAAAUGUUUUCAUAUUUAUACAAAAUUUUUAAAUAAAACGAAUGAUCAAACGUUGGACAAAAAAGUCAACAACGUCAUAGAUU
rnacentral:pre_miRNA from 1 species